GACGAACGCUGGCGGCGUGCCUAAUACAUGCAAGUCGAACGCAGUGGGGACGGGUGAGUAACACGUGGGUAACCUCCCAUCAGAGGGGAUAACACUUGGAAACAGGUGCUAAACCGCUACUGAUGGAUGGACCCGCGGUGCAGUAGCUAGUUGGUGAGGUAACGGCUCACCAAGGCCACGAUGCAUAGCGUCCCUGAGAGGGUGGUCGGCCACACGUGGACUGAGAAACGGCCCAUACUCCUGCGGGAGGCAGCAGUAGGGAAUCUGGGGCAAUGGGCGAAAGUCUGACCGAGCAAAGCCGCGUGAGUGAAGAAGGUUUUCGGAUCGUAAAAUGCUUUUGUUAGAGAAGAGGUAUCUAACCAAAAAGCCACGGCUAACUACGUGCCAGCAGCCGCGGGAAUAC
rnacentral:rRNA from 1 species